GGGGUUUUAGCUCAGUUGGUAGAGCACUUCGCUGGCAGUGAAGGGGUCAUCGGUUCAAGUCCGAUAAGCUCCACCA
rnacentral:tRNA from 1 species